AAUAGGUCUUUCACGGACGUGGAAAAUGCGUCUUUCACGGAUGUUGAACGUGCGUAUUUUACGGAUGUUGAACAUGCGUAUUUUACGGAUGUUGAACAUGCGUAUUUUACGGAUGUUGAACGUGCGUAUUUUACGGAUGUUGAACAUGCGUAUUUUACGGAUGUUGAACGUGCGUAUUUUACGGCUGUUGAACGUGCGUAUUUUACGGCUGUUGAACGUGCGUAUUUUACGGACGUUGAACAUGCGUAUUUUACGGACGUGGGACAUGCGUACUUUACGGACGUGGAACAUGCGUACUUUACGGACGUGGAACAUGCGUAUUUUACGGAUGUGGAACAUGCGUAUUUUACGGAUGUGGAACAUGCGUAUCUUACGGGCGUGGAAAAUAGGUCUUUCACGGACGUGGAAAAUGCGUCUUUCACGGAUGUUGAACGUGCGUAUUUUACGGGUGUUGAACGUGCGUAUUUUACGGGUGUUGAACGUGCGUAUUUUACGGGUGUUGAACGUGCGUAUUUUACGGGUGUUGAACGUGCGUAUUUUACGGGUGUUGAACGUGCGUAUUUUACGGGUGUUGAACGUGCGUAUUUUACGGGUGUUGAACGUGCGUAUUUUACGGGUGUUGAACGUGCGUAUUUUACGGAUGUUGAAUGUGCGUAUUUUACGGAUGUUGGCCGUGCGUAUUUUACGGAUGUUGGCCGUGCGUAUUUUACGGAUGUGGCACGUGCGUAUUUUACGGAUGUGGAACGUGCGUAUGUUACGGAUGUGGAAAAUAGGUCUUUCACGGAUGUUGAGAAUGUUUUUUUGGGGUCAUUGUUUCUAUUGGCAAAUUUCAACUGUACAUCAUUUCACUUUUCUAUCUAUAUGUCAACAAAUAUUGUCACAUUGAAUAAAGGAUAAUGGAUCAAAAUGAAGAUUACAGUAUGGAAUACGUAUUAUUACUCCAUUGUGUUAACCAAGAGCUUUGGAACUGGCAGUGACCAUAUUCAAAGUUUCCUAACACAAACCAACAGAGCCUUUCAACUACAAUGACAUUCUCAGUAAAGGUUACAGAAACAUUUUUACAGUGGUUGCUCAACUAAAAGUGUUGAGACUUAAUAAUUAACUUAAUAUGGAAUUUGUAGUUUAGUACGGUACCCUGCGUCACUGCUUCUUUGCUCCAGGCCAGUGCAAGGGGGAGUUAGAGCACUGAUUAUGCUUUUGGGUCCCAAGGCGCUAAUGUGUCACUAACUGACAAUGAAUGGGCCGACAUAAACCAAAUAGAAACUAAUAAUUGUGCACGACUUCAAAAUUGAAUUUCAAUGACCUGAAUGAUGAGGAUGAAGAAGGUGAUUGAAUUUAGAACAAUUGUGUAAGAAUUGCUAUUCCUCUGUACAGCAUGCACACCCAGAAAAAUACACCUAUUUUUGUGUUAUUACUCGCCAGUAUUACUUACUAAAACUGUUGUUACAGUAAGGUUUUUAUUCUAAGAGAAAUAAACUUUUCAAUUAUUUUGAGCUCCCGACCAGUCACGUUGUACAGCGCCAUUAUGGGCUUUUAGCAGGACAAUAGACUCUUACCAACACCUCUCUGUAUUUUGAUACUUUGUGCAAGGCAAUUGAUUAGCAUUAAAAACUUUUAAAACUUUGUGGAUGGGGCCUCCCUAGUGGCGC
ensembl:lncRNA